rnacentral:rRNA from 1 species
UAUCUCUGUAGAGUCUGCAUAUCAAUAAGCGGAGGAAAAGAAACUAACUAGGAUUCCCUCAGUAACGGCGAGUGAAGCGGGAAGAGCUCAAAUUUGAAAUCUUCAGGGUUCUACCUUGACGAAUUGUAGUUUAAAGAAGUGUUUUCUGUUGGAGUUUUGGUAAAAGUUCUUUGGAAUAGGACAUCAUAGAGGGUGAGAAUCCCGUAUUUGACCAUUAUUUCCAGCUUUGUGAUACACUUUCAAAGAGUCGGAUUGUUUGGGAAUGCAGUCCAAAAUGGGUGGUAAAUUUCAUCUAAAGCUAAAUACUGGCGAGAGACCGAUAGCGAACAAGUACCGUGAGGGAAAGAUGAAAAGAACUUUGAAAAGAGAGUUAAACAGUACGUGAAAUUGUCAAAAGGGAAGCGUUUGACACCAGUGUUGUUUUUCCGAAAAUCAAUUACAAAUGGAUUUCAUGUUUAGGUAGUUAUGACUUCAUCGGCUUGCUGCUUUCGUUUACGGUACUUUUCUGAUGCACUUUUCGGUUAACAAGUCAACAUCAAUUUCUUUUGUUGUAAAAGGGUAUGAGGAAGGUGGCUUUCUUUUCGGAGAAAGUGUUUAUAGCCUUGUGCCUCUGCAAUCGGAGAGAUUGAGGUCUGCAGCGUAGAUCCUUCGGGGUUAGAUACAUUUGUGCUAAGUUAUAGCUUUUCAUAGACAACUUGUUGACUAUGAUCAGUCAUGUAGCUUACUCGCUUAUGUUAUUUUACCUACGCUUAGGAUGUUGAGUAGCGACAUACGCAC